rnacentral:rRNA from 1 species
AUGGCCGCCGACCGUCUCUCCGCUCUCCCCGACGAUCUGCUGCAGCACAUCCUAUCAUUCGUACCCGAGAGGGAGGCCGCUGCCACCGCCGUCCUCUCGCGCCGAUGGCACCCUCUCUGGAGCGGAGCGACCGCCGUCAACCUGGACAUCAGGCCCUACAUGACCGCCGAGGAGGGUCAAGGCCUCCGCAUCAGCCCUUCGCCGCUGGACGCCCUCUUGCACGACGCCGUCGCCGCACUCGCCGCCUUCCCCCGACCUCGUACGAGGUACGACAGUGUGGACGACCCCGAACCUGUAGACGACGGCAGGGAGCCCGGCCUCCUCGCUGACCCCGCAGCGGCCGGACUGGAAGAGGUCCUCAUCGGCUGCGAGCACGGCCGUAUGCGGACGACGACCUAUGGCCUGCCGCUGGCCUCCAUGGCGUGCGCCGCCACGCUCCUUGGCUUUCCCGUGCCUGACGGAGCUGCGGCUGCGCCACUGCUUUUUCAAGGAAGGGUGUCUCCACUCCAGGCUAUGGUCGACGCCGCGCCGGCGCUCACCAGCCUGUCACUGGACAGAGUCUCUCAACAGCCGCCGGGUUCUGCCAAGAAGCCAUUCGAGGCCAUGCCGCCCUAUCUCUGGGUGCCCUUCCGGCUCCGCUGCUUGACAGCCACCACCCUGGAGCUAGAGACCUACUCCGUGGGCGCCGAGGAGGAGGAGAGUUGGAAGGAGAACGGCUCAAUAAUAUUCUCUUUGUUUGGCAUACUGCCAUCGGUACAACAUAUGCAGGAUGAGUUACAACAGAAGGCCCGAUGA